rnacentral:rRNA from 1 species
AUUGAACGCUGGCGGCAGGCCUAACACAUGCAAGUCGAGCGGAUGAAGGGAGCUUGCUCCUGGAUUCAGCGGCGGACGGGUGAGUAAUGCCUAGGAAUCUGCCUGGUAGUGGGGGAUAACGUCCGGAAACGGGCGCUAAUACCGCAUACGUCCUGAGGGAGAAAGUGGGGGAUCUUCGGACCUCACGCUAUCAGAUGAGCCUAGGUCGAUUAGCUAGUUGGUGGGGUAAAGGCCUACCAAGGCGACGAUCCGUAACUGGUCUGAGAGGAUGAUCAGUCACACUGGAACUGAGACACGGUCCAGACUCCUACGGGAGGCAGCAGUGGGGAAUAUUGGACAAUGGGCGAAAGCCUGAUCCAGCCAUGCCGCGUGUGUGAAGAAGGUCUUCGGAUUGUAAAGCACUUUAAGUUGGGAGGAAGGGCAGUAAGUUAAUACCUUGCUGUUUUGACGUUACCAACAGAAUAAGCACCGGCUAACUUCGUG